UACCUUGCGGCCGUACUCCCCAGGCGGUCAACUUCACGCGUUAGCUUCGUUACUAAUAGGUUUUACCCUACCAACAACUAGUUGACAUCGUUUAGGGCGUGGACUACCAGGGUAUCUAAUCCUGUUUGCUCCCCACGCUUUCGUGCAUGAGCGUCAGUAUCGACCCAGGGGGCUGCCUUCGCCAUCGGUGUUCCUCCACAUCUCUACGCAUUUCACUGCUACACGUGGAAUUCCACCCCCCUCUGCCGUACUCAAGCCUGCCAGUCACAAGCGCCAUUCCCAGGUUAAGCCCGGGGAUUUCACACCUGUCUUAGCAAACCGCCUGCGCACGCUUUACGCCCAGUAAUUCCGAUUAACGCUCGCACCCUACGUAUUACCGCGGCUGCUGGCACGUAGUUAGCCGGUGCUUCUUAUUCGGGUACCGUCAUCCACACAGAGUAUUAGCCUGUGCGAUUUCUUCCCCGCCGAAAGAGCUUUACAACCCGAAGGCCUUCUUCACUCACGCGGCAUGGCUGGAUCAGGGUUUCCCCCAUUGUCCAAAAUUCCCCA
rnacentral:rRNA from 1 species